rnacentral:rRNA from 1 species
UACGGAGGGUGCAAGCGUUGCUCGGAAUUAUUGGGCGUAAAGGGUAGGUAGGUGGUCUCAUUUGUCUGAGGUGAAAUCCUUGGGCUUAACCCAAGAAGUGCCUCAGAAACGGUGAGACUGGAGUCCUGGAGAGGGUCGUGGAAUUCCCGGUGUAGCGGUGAAAUGCGUAGAGAUCGGGAGGAACACCAGAGGCGAAGGCGGCGACCUGGACAGGUACUGACACUCAACUACGAAAGCGUGGGGAGCAAACAGG